UACAGAGGGUGCAAACGUUGUUCGGAAUCACUGGGCGUAAAGCGCGCGUAGGCGGCUUGGCAAGUCAGAGGUGAAAGCCUGGAGCUUAACUCCAGAAUUGCCUUUGAAACUGCCAAGCUAGAGUGUCGGAGGGGAUAGCGGAAUUGCUAAUGUAGAGGUGAAAUUCGUAGAUAUUAGCAGGAACACCGGUGGCGAAGGCGGCUAUCUGGACGACAACUGACGCUGAGGCGCGAAAGCGUGGGGAUCAAACAGG
rnacentral:rRNA from 1 species